rnacentral:rRNA from 1 species
UCGAACGAAGCACCUUAUUUGAUUUUCUUCGGAACUGAAGAUUUGGUGACUGAGUGGCGGACGGGUGAGUAACGCGUGGGUAACCUGCCCUGUACAGGGGGAUAACAAUCAGAAAUGACUGCUAAUACCGCAUAAGACCACAGCACCGCAUGGUGCAGGGGUAAAAACUCCGGUGGUACAGGAUGGACCCGCGUCUGAUUAGCUGGUUGGUGAGGUAACGGCUCACCAAGGCGACGAUCAGUAGCCGGCUUGAGAGAGUGAACGGCCACAUUGGGACUGAGACACGGCCCAAACUCCUACGGGAGGCAGCAGUGGGGAAUAUUGCACAAUGGGGGGAACCCUGAUGCAGCGACGCCGCGUGAGUGAAGAAGUAUCUCGGUAUGUAAAGCUCUAUCAGCAGGGAAGAAAAUAACGGUACCUGACUAAGAAGCCCCGGCUAACUACGUGCCAGCAGCCGCGGUAAUACGUAGGGGGCAAGCGUUAUCCGGAAUUACUGGGUGUAAAGGGUGCGUAGGUGGUAUGGCAAGUCAGAAGUGAAAACCCAGGGCUUAACUCUGGGACUGCUUUUGAAACUGUCAGACUGGAGUGCAGGAGAGGUAAGCGGAAUUCCUAGUGUAGCGGUGAAAUGCGUAGAUAUUAGGAGGAACAUCAGUGGCGAAGGCGGCUUACUGGACUGAAACUGACACUGAGGCACGAAAGCGUGGGGAGCAAACA